rnacentral:rRNA from 1 species
CUACGUGCCAGCAGCCGCGGUAAUACGUAGGGUGCAAGCGUUAUCCGGAAUUAUUGGGCGUAAAGGGCUCGUAGGCGGUUCGUCGCGUCCGGUGUGAAAGUCCAUCGCUUAACGGUGGAUCUGCGCCGGGUACGGGCGGGCUGGAGUGCGGUAGGGGAGACUGGAAUUCCCGGUGUAACGGUGGAAUGUGUAGAUAUCGGGAAGAACACCAAUGGCGAAGGCAGGUCUCUGGGCCGUUACUGACGCUGAGGAGCGAAAGCGUGGGGAGCGAACAGGAUUAGAUACCCUGGUAGUCCACGCCGUAAACGGUGGAUGCUGGAUGUGGGGCCCGUUCCACGGGUUCCGUGUCGGAGCUAACGCGUUAAGCAUCCCGCCUGGGGAGUACGGCCGCAAGGCUAAAACUCAAAGAAAUUGACGGGGGCCCGCACAAGCGGCGGAGCAUGCGGAUUAAUUCGAUGCAACGCGAAGAACCUUACCUGGGCUUGACAUGUUCCCGACAGCCGUAGAGAUAUGGCCUCCCUUCGGGGCGGGUUCACAGGUGGUGCAUGGUCGUCGUCAGCUCGUGUCGUGAGAUGUUGGGUUAAGUCCCGCAACGAGCGCAACCCUCGCCCUGUGUUGCCAGCACGUCAUGGUGGGAACUCACGGGGGACCGCCGGGGUCAACUCGGAGGAAGGUGGGGAUGACGUCAGAUCAUCAUGCCCCUUACGUCCAGGGCUUCACGCAUGCUACAAUGGCCGGUACAACGGGAUGCGACACGGCGACGUGGAGCGGAUCCCUGAAAACCGGUCUCAGUUCGGAUUGGAGUCUGCAACCCGACUCCAUGAAGGCGGAGUCGCUAGUAAUCGCGGAUCAGCAACGCCGCGGUGAAUGCGUUCCCGGGCCUUGUACACACCGCCCGUC